rnacentral:rRNA from 1 species
UACGUAGGGCGCAAGCGUUAUCCGGAAUUAUUGGGCGUAAAGGGCUCGUAGGCGGUUUGUCGCGUCGGGAGUGAAAUCAUCUGGCUUAACUGGGUGCUUGCUUUCGAUACGGGCAGACUAGAGGUAUGCAGGGGGAGAACGGAAUUCCUGGUGUAGCGGUGAAAUGCGCAGAUAUCAGGAGGAACACCGGUGGCGAAGGCGGUUCUCUGGGCAUGAUCUGACGCUGAGGAGCGAAAGUGUGGGGAGCGAACAGG